UCAGUCGGCUGGACGGUCGCUCGGGCCAAGGCCGAAAGGUGGCCCGAGAGGAAAGUCCGGGCUCCAUGGACGUACGGUGCCGGAUAACGUCCGGCGGGUGUUAAGCCCAGGGAAAGUGCCACAGAGAACAGACCGCCGCUCGUAGCGUCCCUUCUCGGGAGGCAUGAGCGGUAAGGGUGAAACGGUGCGGUAAGAGCGCACCGCGCCUGCGGCAACGCAAGCGGCAAGGCAAACCCCACCGGGAGCAAGACCGAAUAGGGACGGCGCGAGACUCGCCUCCGCGCGAGCGGAGCGAUGCUCGAGAUCAAUGUCCGGAUCUGGCCGUCCGGGUAGGUUGCUCAAGGCGCUGGGUAACCAGCGUCGCAGAGGAAUGGCCGUCAGGCGGGUGCUUUGCCCCUUGCCGACAGAACCCGGCUUACAGGCCGGCUGAUGCU
rnacentral:RNase_P_RNA from 1 species